rnacentral:rRNA from 1 species
UACGUAGGGUGCGAGCGUUGUCCGGAAUUACUGGGCGUAAAGCGUGCGCAGGCGGUUUUGUAAGCCAGAUGUGAAAUCCCCGGGCUUAACCUGGGAAUGGCAUUUGGGACUGCAAGGCUCGAGUGCGGCAGAGGAGACUGGAAUUCCUGGUGUAGCAGUGAGAUGCGUAGAUAUCAGGAGGAACACCGAUGGCGAAGGCAGGUCUCUGGGCUGACACUGACGCUCAUGCACGAAAGCGUGGGGAGCAAACAGG